UACAGAGGGUGCAAGCGUUGUUCGGAAUUAUUGGGCGUAAAGCGCGUGUAGGCGGCUUUGCAAGUCGGGUGUGAAAGCCCUCAGCUUAACUGAGGAAGUGCGCCCGAAACUGCAGAGCUUGAGUACCGGAGAGGAUGGUGGAAUUCCCCAAGUAGAGGUGAAAUUCGUAGAUAUGGGGAGGAACACCGGUGGCGAAGGCGACCAUCUGGACGGAUACUGACGCUGAGACGCGAAAGCGUGGGGAGCAAACAGG
rnacentral:rRNA from 1 species